UCUAUUAUGGCAGAAUAGUGUAUUGGAUUUAAGAUCCAAAAAUAUUUAAUUUUUUUUAGAA
rnacentral:tRNA from 1 species